AUGGACGAAGAACCAGAGAGAGCCAAGCGCUGGGAAGGGGGCUACGAGAGGACAUGGGAGGUGCUGAAGGAGGACGAAUCUGGCUCACUCAAAGCCACGGUGGAGGAGAUCUUGUUCCAGUCCAAAAGGAAAAGGGUGAUAGAGAGCCAUGGACAAGUAAGGCUUGGAAUGAUGCGUCACCUCUAUGUGGUGAUUGACUGUUCAAGAAGUAUGGAAGACCAGGACUUGAAACCAAAUCGCCUCACCUCUACUCUAAAGCUGAUGGAAGCUUUUGUCGAGGAAUAUUUUGACCAAAACCCCAUCAGUCAGGUGGGCAUUAUCACCACAAAGAAUAAAAGGGCUGAGAAGCUGACUGACCUGGCAGGAAAUCCAAAGAAGCACACUGAUGCUCUGAAGAAAGCAGUGGACACUGUGUGUGUAGGAGAGCCAUCCCUGUACAACUCUCUUAACCUGGCCAUACUGACCCUCAAGCACAUGCCUGGACAUACGAGCCGGGAGAUCCUGAUCAUCCUCAGCAGCCUCACCACAUGUGAUCCAGCCAACAUCUACGAGCUGAUCAAGACCCUGAAGUCUCUGAAGGUGAGGGUGUCGGUGAUUGGACUGUCAGCAGAGGUCCGUGUGUGUACAGUGUUGACCAGGGAGACGGGCGGCUUGUACCAUGUUAUCCUGGACGAGAGUCACUUCAAAGAGCUGCUGAUGCUGCAUGUCAAACCUCCUCCAGCCAGCUCCUCAUCUGAAUGCUCUUUAAUACGCAUGGGUUUCCCUCAGCACACCAUCGCCUCUAUUACUUUCCAAGAUGCCAAGCCUUCGUUCAGCAUGGCUCAUCUGGACAGCGGCAGCGGCCCAGGUCUGUCUCUGGGAGGAUACUUUUGUCCGCAGUGUCACGCCAAGUACACAGAGCUUCCCGUGGAGUGUAAAAUCUGUGGUUUGACUCUGGUGUCAGCCCCCCAUCUUGCCAGAUCCUUCCACCACCUCUUUCCGCUCCAAGACUUUAUAGAGAGUGCUGUGGAGGAGCUUCAAGGAGACAGGUUCUGUCAAGCUUGUCAAGGGGAGUUGAAAGAUAAAAGUGGAGCAGUGGGCAGCCACAGUGCAGCACCCCGGGACCAAUUGGUCUGAACUGAGAACCUAACAUGUUUUUGAUGGUGGGGGAAACCGUAGCAAAGGAAACUCACGCAAACUCCACACAGAAAGGCCUGGGAUGACUGGGGUUCAAACCUGUGACCUUCUUGCUGUGAGGCCACAGUUCUAUUCACUGGGCCACCGUACCGGUUCAUGAUAUUUACCUGCCCAUCAUGUUGCAGUGCAUUCUGUGUGGAGUGUGAUCUCUUCAUCCACGACUCGCUGCACUGCUGCCCCUGCUGUAUUCACAAUCAGAGCGCCCCCUGAAGCUGACUGUCUGACAGUGGUCAGACUCAGCGGUCAACAAGGGCUCAAUGAAUUUGCUCUUAUUGGCUCAUCAUAUCCUUCAUAUUAGUCUUGUCCACCUCUGAUGGGACAUAUAUGAUGCACACAGGCUUGUCAGUGGACCAUCCAAAUGGUCAAAGGUGUUGAAAGAUUACCACAAAAUACUGGAUAAUUUCAGUUGAUCCACGUGGUAGUUGGAAGUAGUUGUUUUCUUGCUAAAGAUGAUACCAAGUUGGAGCAAAGCUCCUGUCUGCUCUGUGAACUGCAUCUGAGCCAUUAUAUAUGUCAGAACUGUUUUGUACUACAAUUCUGUUGGUGACAUGGUAAUAAACAUAUUUUUUUGAAAUUGAAA